rnacentral:rRNA from 1 species
GGAAAAGAAACCAACAGGGAUUGCCCUAGUAACGGCGAGUGAAGCGGCAACAGCUCAAAUUUGAAAUCUGGCUUCGGCCCGAGUUGUAAUUUGCAGAGGAAGCUUUAGGCGCGGCACCUUCUGAGUCCCCUGGAACGGGGCGCCAUAGAGGGUGAGAGCCCCGUAUAGUUGGAUGCCUAGCCUGUGUAAAGCUCCUUCGACGAGUCGAGUAGUUUGGGAAUGCUGCUCAAAAUGGGAGGUAAAUUUCUUCUAAAGCUAAAUACCGGCCAGAGACCGAUAGCGCACAAGUAGAGUGAUCGAAAGAUGAAAAGCACUUUGAAAAGAGGGUUAAAUAGCACGUGAAAUUGUUGAAAGGGAAGCGCUUGUGACCAGACUUGCGCCGGGCAGAUCAUCCGGUGUUCUCACCGGUGCACUCUGCCCGGCUCAGGCCAGCAUCGGUUCUCGCGGGGGGAUAAAGGCCCUGGGAACGUAGCUCCUCCGGGAGUGUUAUAGCCCGGGGCGUAAUGCCCUCGCGGGGACCGAGGUUCGCGCAUCUGCAA